rnacentral:snRNA from 1 species
AUUGUUUCUCCUGCCUUUCGGCUAACAUCAAAUUGUAGUAUCCCUAAUUCGUCCUCUAUUUGAGGACAUUGUGUUAAAUGGACUUCUAGAGCUAGGAGUUGGAAUAGAAGCUUGCUCCAUCCACUCCCUGCAUCAGCCUAGUAUUGUAGUACUUUCAGGAAUGGUGUACUCCUU